rnacentral:misc_RNA from 1 species
GAUGAAGAACGCAGCGAAAUGCGAUAAGUAGUGUGAAUUGCAGAAUUCAGUGAAUCAUCGAAUCUUAGAACGCACAUUGCGCCCCUUGGUAUUCCAUGGGGCAUGCCUGUUCGAGCGUCAUUUGUACCUUCAAGCUCUGCUUGGUGUUGGGUGUUUGUCUCGCCUCUGCGUGUAGACUCGCCUUAAAACAAUUGGCAGCCGGCGUAUUGAUUUCGGAGCGCAGUACAUCUCGCGCUUUGCACUCAUAACGACGACGUCCAAAAGUACAUUUUUACACUCUUGACCUCGGAUCAGGUAGGGAUACCCGCUGAACUUAAGCAUAUCAAUAAGCGGAGGA